UAGGGAAUCUUCCGCAAUGGGCGAAAGCCUGACGGAGCAACGCCGCGUGAGUGAUGAAGGUCUUCGGAUCGUAAAACUCUGUUAUUAGGGAAGAACAAAUGUGUAAGUAACUAUGCACGUCUUGACGGUACCUAAUCAGAAAGCCACGGCUAACUACGUGCCAGCAGCCGCGGUAAUACGUAGGUGGCAAGCGUUAUCCGGAAUUAUUGGGCGUAAAGCGCGCGUAGGCGGUUUUUUAAGUCUGAUGUGAAAGCCAACGGCUCAACCGUGGAGAGUAAUUGGAAACUGGAAAACUUGAGUGCAGAAGAGGAAAGUGGAAUUCCAUGUGUAGCGGUGAAAUGCGCAGAGAUAUGGAGGAACACCAGUGGCGAAGGCGACUUUCUGGUCUGUAACUGACGCUGAUGUGCGAGAGCGUGGGGAUCAAACAGG
rnacentral:rRNA from 1 species